rnacentral:SRP_RNA from 1 species
GAGCUAUUCAGCGGGGCACCCGUCGACGUUUCGGAGGCGGGGCAGGACGACGCAGCAGCGCU